rnacentral:rRNA from 1 species
UACGUAGGUGGCAAGCGUUGUCCGGAUUUACUGGGCGUAAAGGGAGCGUAGGCGGAUUUUUAAGUGAGAUGUGAAAUACCCGGGCUUAACUUGGGUGCUGCAUUUCAAACUGGAAGUCUAGAGUGCAGGAGAGGAGAAGGGAAUUCCUAGUGUAGCGGUGAAAUGCGUAGAGAUUAGGAAGAACACCAGUGGCGAAGGCGCUUUUCUGGACUGUAACUGACGCUGAGGCUCGAAAGCGUGGGGAGCAAACAGGAUUAGAUACCCUGGUAGUCCCU